GCACCUGUGGUGGAAUUGGCAGACACGCAAGAUUUAGGAUCUUGUGUCGAGAGGCGUGCAGGUUCAAGUCCUGUCAGGUGCA
rnacentral:tRNA from 1 species